CCUACGUGGGGCAGCAGUGAGGAAUAUUGGUCAAUGGGCGCGAGCCUGAACCAGCCAAGUAGCGUGAAGGAUGACUGCCCUACGGGUUGUAAACUUCUUUUAUAAAGGAAUAAAGUGAGGCACGUGUGCCUCUUUGCAUGUACCUUAUGAAUAAGGAUCGGCUAACUCCGUGCCAGCAGCCGCGGUAAUACGGAGGAUCCGAGCGUUAUCCGGAUUUAUUGGGUUUAAAGGGAGCGUAGGUGGGUUGUUAAGUCAGUUGUGAAAGUUUGCGGCUCAACCGUAAAAUUGCAAUUGAUACUGGCAGUCUUGAGUACGGUUGAGGUAGGCGGAAUUCGUGGUGUAGCGGUGAAAUGCAUAGAUAUCCCGAAGAACUCCGAUUGCGAAGGCAGCUUACUAAACUGCCACUGACACUGAUGCUCGAAAGUGUGGGUAUCAAACAGGAUUAGAUACCCCUGUAGUC
rnacentral:rRNA from 1 species